UACGUAGGGUGCUAGCGUUGUUCGGAAUCAUUGGGCGUAAAGCGCGUGUAGGCGGUUAGUUAAGUCGAGUGUGAAAUCCCUGGGCUCAACCGAGGAAGUGCAUUCGAAACUAGCUAGCUAGAAGACGGUAGAGGAAGGUGGAAUUCCAAGUGUAGAGGUGAAAUUCGUAGAUAUUUGGAGGAAUACCGGUGGCGAAGGCGGCCUUCUGGGCCGAUCUUGACGCUGAGACGCGAAAGCGUGGGUAGCAAACAGG
rnacentral:rRNA from 1 species